rfam:Physcomitrella patens subsp. patens PHYPAscaffold_28 genomic scaffold, whole genome shotgun sequence.
UAAGAGGCUUUUAUAAAAGCCAUGUUAAGAUACCUCAAAUUAUAAU